rnacentral:rRNA from 1 species
UGGCCGCAGUAUAUUAACUGUGCAAAGGUAGCAUAAUCAUUAGUCUUUUAAUUGAAGGCUAGUAUGAAUGGUUGGACGAAAUAUUAACUGUUUCAUAAAAAUUUGUAUUAAAAUUUUAUUUUUUAGUAAAAAAGCUAAAAUUUUAUUAAAAGACGAGAAGACCCUAUAAAUCUUUAUAUUUAAAUUAUUAGAAUUUUUAGGAUUAUUUAUAUUUUAAUAUUUAAUAGUAUUUUAUUGGGGUGAUAUUAAAAUUUAAUAAACUUUUAAUUUAAUAAUUCAUUAAUUUAUGAUUAGUUGAUCCGUAUUUAACGAUUAAAAAUUUAAGUUACUUUAGGGAUAACAGCGUUAUUUUUUUGGAGAGUUCUUAUCAAUAAAAAAGAUUGCGACCUCGAUGUUGGAUUAAGAGAUAAGGUUAGGUGUAGCCGCUUAAUUUUUAAGUCUGUUCGACUUUUGAAUUCUUACAUGAUCUGAGUUUAAACCGGUGUAAGCCAGGUUGGUUUCUAUCUUUAGUAA